rnacentral:lncRNA from 1 species
UGAAGGCAGGGCGAGCAGAGGCAGGGGAGGACUGCUGGAUGUUGUCACCAUUGCCAUGCACCCCCUUGUGAAGUUUGUAAUCUUGGACGAGCAGAGUACCCAACUUCUCCAGGACAGAGUUCAGGGCCCUGUGGCUGCACUCACCAUGACCCCCUCCAUGAUCAGUUAACUUUGUGUGGGUGGCUGUGUACCAGUAGUAUAGGUGGAAUGCACUAACGAUAACAAACAGCUACUACAGUAGUAUAUUUGCUUGGUCAAUGGUGCAUGCACAGGAGGUGGUGGUGUGGCCCAACCAGAGGAGGUCGGUGCCUGCGCGAUGUGUUGCCAGAACGACGCAUAAGAAUUAAACUGAACAGAUUUUAGAUAUUGAACUGAACCGAAAGAAGAAACUUGACAUCACACAAACAUUCCCUAUUGGUUUGAGCUUUGUUUGUUUAGAUUUCUGAAGUCAUGCAACACUUAUACCUCAACUUGUGCGACACAUUUUUUAUUUAGUUGAAAGCGUCUAAUUUUUUCAGAAUAUGCUACAUGAAAAGAGGAAGGGAGAAGGCAUUGAGAUGCAUACCUAAAGCACACACGCAUCAAUCGCAUGGAUGCGCACAUGUGGUUGAUGGCGGCGUUGUGACCUGUGUGUGCUUGCUGCCUUGAAUGUCCAUCAAACGAAAAAAAGCUAGUGGUUCAAUUAGAAACACACAAUAGCAAUUUUGCCGAAUGCCAUCAAAUGAAAUUUGCAUGGUUCAAUUAGAAACACGCAGUAGCAAACAUAUUUGCAGAUUUUUUGUGUGUAUAAAAAUGCUAGUGGGUUAAAUUGAAAACAUGGACAGCGCCAUCACACAUUUUCUUUUAGUAUAUCUUCUCAUUUCAUCCUACAGUGCAUGUUUUGUGUUUAAGGAAGAAAAUGGAAAACAUAAAGGGAAUCGUACUUACGAUUGGGAAUUAGAUGUACUGAAUAGCUUACAUUAGAUGAACCGGAAAAAGUUCAAGCUCGAGAGCCUCACGAAGAAUUGGAU